rnacentral:misc_RNA from 1 species
CAAUAAGAGUGUUUAUGGCACUCUUUCAAAAAAUCCAUACCCACCUUGUGUGCAAUGUAAAAAAAAAAAGGAGUUUUCUUGUGGUUUGGGAGUGAGAGUUGUUUUACAACGCUCAUUUUUUUUUCCUCAAGAGACACUUUUUUUUUCAUUUCAUAUACACCUUUCUAUAAGUUUCCUAUUGUCUGAAGUACUUGGAAUAAAUAUAAUUCUAAAAUA